rnacentral:rRNA from 1 species
GGUUAACGGAGCGAAAGCGACGUUCAACCGCAAAACAAGCAGAGGGGGCUUAGUGGUGGGGUGACUGCGUACCUUUUGUAUAAUGGGUCAGCGACUUAUAUUCUGUAGCAAGGUUAACCGAAUAGGGGAGCCGGAGGGAAACCGAGUCUUAAUUGGGCGUUAAGUUGCAGGGUAUAGACCCGAAACCCGGUGAUCUAGCCAUGGGCAGGUUGAAGGUUGGGUAACACUAACUGGAGGACCGAACCGACUAAUGUUGAAAAAUUAGCGGAUGACCUGUGGCUGGGGGUGAAAGGCCAAUCAAACCGGGAGAUAGCUGGUUCUCCCCGAAAGCUAUUUAGGUAGCGCCUCGUGAAUUCAUCUCCGGGGGUAGAGCACUGUUUCGGCUAGGGGGCCAUCCCGGCUUACCAACCCGAUGCAAACUGCGAAUACCGGAGAAUGUUAUCACGGGAGACACACGGCGGGUGCUAACGUCCGUCGUGAAGAGGGAAACAACCCAGACCGCCAGCUAAGGUCCCAAAGUCAUGGUUAAGUGGGAAACGAUGUGGGAAGGCCCAGACAGCCAGGAUGUUGGCUUAGAAGCAGCCAUCAUUUAAAGAAAGCGUAAUAGCUCACUGGUCGAGUCGGCCUGCGCGGAAGAUGUAACGGGGCUAAACCAUGCACCGAAGCUGCGGCAGCGAACGUAUCACCCAAGACAACUUUACGGAGUUGACGAUUGACGGAGCGAAGCGACGUCAAAGCGUUCAUUAAAGUCGAGUUGGCUUAGGGAUACGUUCGUUGGGUAGGGGAGCGUUCUGUAAGCCUGUGAAGGUGUGUCGUGAGGCAUGCUGGAGGUAUCAGAAGUGCGAAUGCUGACAUAAGUAACGAUAAAGCGGGUGAAAAGCCCGCUCGCCGGAAGACCAAGGGUUCCUGUCCAACGUUAAUCGGGGCAGGGUGAGUCGACCCCUAAGGCGAGGCCGAAAGGCGUAGUCGAUGGGAAACGGGUUAAUAUUCCCGUACUUGGUGUUACUGCGAAGGGGGGACGGAGAAGGCUAUGUUGGCCGGGCGACGGUUGUCCCGGUUUAAGCGUGUAGGUGUGUGUUCCAGGUAAAUCCGGUUCACUUUAACACUGAGGCGUGACGACGAGGCACUACGGUGCUGAAGCAACAAAUGCCCUGCUUCCAGGAAAAGCCUCUAAGCAUCAGGUAACACGAAAUCGUACCCCAAACCGACACAGGUGGUCAGGUAGAGAAUACCAAGGCGCUUGAGAGAACUCGGGUGAAGGAACUAGGCAAAAUGGUGCCGUAACUUCGGGAGAAGGCACGCUGACACGUAGGUGAAGUGAUUUACUCAUGGAGCUGAAGUCAGUCGAAGAUACCAGCUGGCUGCAACUGUUUAUUAAAAACACAGCACUGUGCAAACACGAAAGUGGACGUAUACGGUGUGACGCCUGCCCGGUGCCGGAAGGUUAAUUGAUGGGGUCAGCGCAAGCGAAGCUCCUGAUCGAAGCCCCGGUAAACGGCGGCCGUAACUAUAACGGUCCUAAGGUAGCGAAAUUCCUUGUCGGGUAAGUUCCGACCUGCACGAAUGGCGUAAUGAUGGCCAGGCUGUCUCCACCCGAGACUCAGUGAAAUUGAACUCGCUGUGAAGAUGCAGUGUACCCGCGGCAAGACGGAAAGACCCCGUGAACCUUUACUAUAGCUUGACACUGAACAUUGAGCCUUGAUGUGUAGGAUAGGUGGGAGGCUUUGAAGUGUGGACGCCAGUCUGCAUGGAGCCGACCUUGAAAUACCACCCUUUAAUGUUUGAUGUUCUAACGUGGACCCGUAAUCCGGGUUGCGGACAGUGUCUGGUGGGUAGUUUGACUGGGGCGGUCUCCUCCUAAAGAGUAACGGAGGAGCACGAAGGUUGGCUAAUCCUGGUCGGACAUCAGGAGGUUAGUGCAAUGGCAUAAGCCAGCUUGACUGCGAGCGUGACGGCGCGAGCAGGUGCGAAAGCAGGUCAUAGUGAUCCGGUGGUUCUGAAUGGAAGGGCCAUCGCUCAACGGAUAAAAGGUACUCCGGGGAUAACAGGCUGAUACCGCCCAAGAGUUCA